rnacentral:rRNA from 1 species
GGAGUUUGGGCCGUGUCUCAGUCCCAAUGUGGCCGAUCACCCUCUCAGGUCGGCUAUGGAUCGCGGUCUUGGUGGGCCGUUACCCCGCCAACUAACUAAUCCAACGCGGGCCCAUCUUGCACCGAUAAAUCUUUUCCGGAUGUGCCAUGCGGCACUACCGGCUUAUGCGGUAUUAGCAGUCGUUUCCAACUGUUGUCCCCCUGUGCAAGGCAGGUUGCCCACGCGUUACUCACCCGUCCGCCACUAAGUUUACAUGUCCAUUAGAGCAAGCUCCGCUUUCUACAUAAACUCCGUUCGACUUGCAUGUGUUAAGCACGCCGCCAGCGUUCAUC